GGUGGCUCAGAGGUAGAGUGCUUGCCUUGCAUGCAUGAGGCCCUGGGUUCAAUUCCUCAGCACCG
rnacentral:tRNA from 1 species